rnacentral:rRNA from 1 species
CCUACGGGUGGCUGCAGUGGGGAAUUUUGCGCAAUGGGAGAAAUCCUGACGCAGCGACGCCGCGUGGGUGAGGACGGUCUUCGGAUCGUAAAGCCCUUUUAGCAGGGACGAACACAAUGACGGUACCUGCAGAAAAAGCACCUGCUAACUACGUGCCAGCAGCAGCGGUAAUACGUAGGGUGCAAGCGUUAUUCGGAAUUAUUGGGCGUAAAGCGCAUGUAGGCGGUUUGCUAAGUCCGGUGUGAAAGCCCUCGACUUAAUCGGGGAAGUGCACUGGAUACUGGCAGGCUGGAGUACGGGAGAGGAGAAUGGAAUUCCCGGUGUAGAGGUGAAAUUCGUAGAUAUCGGGAGGAACAACAGUGGCGAAGGCGAUUCUCUGGACCGUAACUGACGCUGAGAUGCGAAAGCGUGGGGAGCAAACAGGAUUAGAUACCCGUGUAGUC